AAAUAUCGAACAAUUGGUGUGAGAUUGAGUUGGCUAGUAGGUGGAGGUCUUGAGUUCGAAGACCCAUGACUCCAAAAUUAGCAUACUUUUGCAAUAUAUAGAGGAUAUAGACAUAAUAUUGUGCUAUUAGAAGUUGUCUUGGAAAAUAUAGGGACACUUAAAAAAAUAUCUCUUCAUUCAAAGAGACAAUAUUUUGUAGUGGCACCUCUAUGACAUAUUGGAAAAUGACUAUAUACUUCCUCCG
rnacentral:lncRNA from 1 species